AGCUUCCAAGAAAAGCCCUAUACCCGUUAAGGCAUGAUGGCCUGUACCCGAAACCGACACAGGUGGGGUGGUAGAGAAUACCGAGGGGCGCGAGGUAACUCUCUCUAAGGAACUCGGCAAAAUGGCCCCGUAACUUCGGGAGAAGGGGUGCCACCGCAAGGUGGUCGCAGUGAAGAGGCCCAGGCGACUGUUUACCAAAAACACAGGUCUCCGCUAAGUCGCAAGACGAUGUAUGGGGGCUGACGCCUGCCCAGUGCCGGAAGGUUAAGGAAGCUGGUCAGCGCAAGCGAAGCUGGCGACUGAAGCCCCGGUGAACGGCGGCCGUAACGAUAACGGUCCUAAGGUAGCGAAAUUCCUUGUCGGGUAAGUUCCGACCCGCACGAAAGGCGUAACGAUCUGGGCGCUGUCUCGGAGAGAGGCUCGGCGAAAUAGAAUUGUCUGUGAAGAUGCGGACUACGUGCACCCGGACAGAAAGACCCUAUGAAGCUUUACUGUAGCUUGGUAUUGUGCCCGGGCUCUGAAUGCGCAGGAUAGGUGGGAGGCUUUGAUCCAUGGCUUGCGGGUCAUGGUGAGCCAACGGUGAGAUACCACUCUUUCAGAGCUAGGGUUCUAACGGUCACCCGUCAUCCGGGGACCGGACAGUAUCAGGUGGGCAGUUUGACUGGGGCGGUCGCCUCCUAAAAGGUAACGGAGGCGCGCAAAGGUUUGCUCAGGCUGGUUGGAAAUCAGCCGACGAGUGCAAAAGCAGAAGCAAGCUUGACUGUGAGACCUACAAGUCGAACAGGGACGAAAGUCGGCUUUAGUGAUCCGACGGUUCUGAGUGGAAGGGCCGUCGCUCAACGGAUAAAAGUUACUCUAAGGAUAACAGGCUGAUCUCCCCCAAGAGUUCACAUCGACGGGGAGGUUUGGCACCUCGAUGUCGGCUCAUCGCAACCUGGGGCUGAAGUCGGUCCCAAGGGUUGGGCUGUUCGCCCAUUAAAGCGGUACGCGAGCUGGGUUCAGAACGUCGUGAGACAGUUCGGUCCAUAUCCGGUGCACGCGCAGGAACAUUGAGAGGAUUUCUCCCUAGUACGAGAGGACCGGGAGGAACGCACCUCUGGUGUGCCAGUUAUCGUGCCAACGGUAAACGCUGGGUAGCCAUGUGCGGAGUGGAUAACCGCUGAAAGCAUCUAAGUGGGAAGCCCACCUCAAGAUGAGUGUUCCCAUGGCAUAAGCCAGUAAGGUCACGGGAAGAACACCCGUUGAUAGGCUCUACGUGGAAGCCGGGUAACCGGUGAAGCGGAGGAGUACUAAUAGACCGAGGGCUUGAC
rnacentral:rRNA from 1 species